CUAAAAUGGACGCUUCACACUGGGUCGUCGCAUUCCUUCUUUUCACCGCAUUCCAUGAAACGGAACAACGCCCAAUCGUUGAAGAUACUGCUCCUUUUUCUAAUGACUUCCCAGGUGGCCAUUCUGCAGAUGAGUUUCCAAUGGAUGUACCCGCACGGAACCCGGAUGACACAUCGACAACGGCGCCAGAGGCAGUGGUGCAGCCCUCCGGC